rnacentral:sRNA from 1 species
UUGUUGUAUGUUAGAUCAUCUUUCGAGUAUAUGCACAGGAGAGGUAUAGCUGGGUUGACACACUUGAGAGCAUAGAAAAUGAAUUAUUCUUUAUCUCAGAUGUCUGUUGUUGCUCAGAGUCAGUGGUUGUAUGGUUAGGCCACAUUUCGAGGGGCAGGAUCUGCCCAAGCUCCAGGCUGCUACACAGGACCCUGCACAGUACCUUGACCUUGGUGCUGGCUGCCCUGCUGAUAGGUGUCCUGGCCAUGACCAUUUUGUGUUUGUGGCUCCCUGGCAGGCCUUCAGCCCCCCACUCUCCAGCACCCACACCCCAUGGGUAUUGCAAACUGCAGCAGCUGGGUCUGCAGGGACAUGGGUUAAGGUGUUCUUGGUAGUAGUUCAAGCCUCCCGGGAGCCAAAGGACAGACUCUACUCACAAGCUCCUUUGCCAGCUGACUGUGCACCCAUUCCUGUGGCAUCCACUGGGACUUUAGUCCUGCUUCUCUCUGCCACAGGUUCCAUUCCAUUUCACCAGUUUUUUUUUUAUCCUAAGUUUUUAUUUCUGUUUCUAUAUCUUGAAUAGUUUUGCCUAAAGCAAAUAUUAUCUUUCUCAUGCUGCUAAAGUAAUGCCUACCUGAUUAUCUUUGACAACAGAGAUUAUUUUUUUCUCCCUUCUGAAGGCUAGCAGCACAGUCAGGGUGUCAGCAGGUCCCGGCACUCUCAGGCUAUGAAGGAGAAUCUGUUCUUGGCUUUGUUCCUUCCUGGAAGCUGUUGGGCCAUCUUUGAUGUCUUUGCCGUCACCUUCACGUGUGUUCUCUUCAUGCAUACGUUUGUUUCUGUGUCCAUGCUUCCCGAUUUAUAAGCAUGCAAGUGAUAUUGGACCAGAAUUUACUCUAAUGACUUCAUUUGAUUUUGAUUACUUGUAAAAAUUUCAUUUUCAGAUAAGAGCACAUUCAGGAACUAGUGUUUAGGACACCAUCUGGGAAGAUAAACUGUAUGAAUAGCUAACGUUUCUGAAGAAGUAUAUCUGGAAGUUCUUUAAUAGUGGUUUUAUAUAUACGUGUGAAGUUUAUUAAAAUACUGGGAUAAUUAUGAGUGUAUGCCAAUCGAUGAGUCAUGUCUAAAUAUUUGUUUUUGAGACAGGACUUGUUUAGUCUUACAAAAAAUAUAUACAUACAUAGUUUAAUGAAAGAUUUUCUAUGUGGACUGACAAGAGCCAUAAACUAACCAAGGCCUUAGCGCCAGGUAUGAGAAUCUAUUUUUGAAUUCUUGGCUGCUGUUGUCCAAGAGACUUCCAAAACAUUUUGGGUUAUUUAUGUUGCUAUUGGUUACCCCAAAGGUGGACAUUGAUAAGUCCCAUGAAGACAUCAAGCACUUCAGACACAGGACCAGAGGAUUUGAACUAUAUGCAACCUGAAAGCCUCAUUCCUGAGGACCACCUUGCAUAAUAUGAGAAAGUGCCACAUGUACUUCCAAAGGAGAGAAGAAGCAACAGUCCUUCCUAGACCCAGCUGUACAUCCUGUGCACUGCAACAAUGACCAGAAUGGCAAGCGUGCCCUAUGGGUAUGGUACUGAUACACAUUCCUUGUUGGUGGCCAUGCGAUGGCAUCAUAGGUUGCUGCAGAUGGUUUCAAUGGUUCUGUUGGAUGUUCUUCAUCUGUGCCUGCAAGAGGCGCCCAAGGCUUUAUGUAUGGCCAUUGCUAUGACCUAGUGUGAUGCUCUACUUUCCCGCUGAACUUUACUUGCUAGAACUGAGGAGCUUGGCUAUAAUUUAGCCUUUUCUUUUUGUAUUUAGCUGUUGUUGAGGAAGGAGCUUUGGGAAUAGAAGUAACCAGGCAGCAGGUCCAUUUUCACUGUUGAAGGCAGCUGAAAACUCAUCCCUACUGAUGUCCCACAGAAGCAGCAAGAAGCCUUUCUCUCUAUGAAGUAAUGACAGAUGACGACCAGCAAAGAAUGGUAAGGCAUACCAACAGCAUGCAGUGUCACUAGCAAAGACCAGUAUCAGCAAAGCAAAGACCAGCAAAGCAUGAUCAACUAACCACAAAUGGAAUUUCAAAGAAGAUUCUAUAUAAGUUUUCACCUUGAAAUGUUUUAUCAUUUCAAACUAAGAAGUUUGGAUUUUAUCCUGAGAUUUUAUCACAUAACUGUGACAAUUCCAGAUCAGAGAGAAGAAAAUAAUGCUGGAGACAUUGACACAUAGUUAUUUGGAUCUUGGCAGCAAAACUAAGCAGUUUCGGACUCCUGGGCAGCACUUUUCAUUUGCCCAUCAGGUUACGUGGCAAACCAAUCCAUCUUACUCUCACGCUUGGCGGAUGUGGCACGGUGUGAAGUGGCGGAAGUGACGUGGCGCUAAACUAGAGUGCAGGGCUCUUGCCUCAGAGCCUGGCUGAUAAAAAGUUUUUUUUAAACAAUAAGCAUUUGAGAUUAUGAAUAUGUAAUGAUGCUCAUUAGUAUUUAAGCACCCACCCCACACACACCUGCUAAUGAGUUGUCUCCAGCCCUCACUCUCAGUCUGCUGUAGUGGCUCUCAGUUCCGAGGAAAGUUGCCUGCUUUGAGAAAACAGUUGACUGCAGACAUUAACUGUGAAGAAUUCCUUUGAUUUUGUGGAAUACCGUUUAGAUGGUGUUUAAAUUGUCAAAACAAACAAAACACACUGCUAUGCUUCACAUAAGAGAAUAUCAUACAAAGGAAAAAUUUGAAGGGGACACUAGCAUUUGUAUGUAUUCAUCAGUGUGUACAGAUAUGCUUCUACCCUGGAUCACUGUGCAGUGUGUGAAUCUAUAUCUAGAUAUAGUCAAGUCAAACGAAUUUGACAUUCUGUUGGUUUUUCUAUUAUCCUUCCAAAUAGAGCAAACAGAUGAGAGAAAAAUAUCUCACAAUGAAUAAGGCUAAAACACCAAACUACUCUGUCAAUUUUUACCGUAUUCUCUUUUCAUUUCUGGGUUUCUGCCAAACAGUUUGCAGCUCUUGCACACAGCAUCUCUCAUGAAUGCUACUAAUAAUGAUGUUCUAACCACUGAUUAAGCUACUUUAAUUGAUUUGUAGUAUAUGAAGGGAUCCAAAAGGGCUCAUCCCUCUCCUGCCUUUUAAUGCUGGAGAGUGAACUCAGAGUCUGGCAUGUGCUAAUCAAGUCCUCUACCACGGAGCAGCUACCCCAUCCCAAGUUUUGAACCAUUUAGAAACAGUCACUUUUCAAUCUGAUAAAUUAGGUUUGGUUUUCCACACUCCUCUGGAAAUGUCCUUUCAUGGACAAGGGAACUUCUGUCGCCUACUGCAGACUGUAAAGGACAGGAUGAGUUACAAAUGAUGGCAUUCGCCAGAAGCUAAGGAGGCUGUGGAGGCUGUGCUAAGGGCAGUGGACAAAGAGCAAGCUCUUCUAUUGGGGUCAUGCCUCUGCAGUCAAUUCACCUCCAGUGCAGAGUCAUCUUAUGCAAGGAGGCAAAAGCAUGAUGCUAUAUAGGGCUUUUGAGAGUCAUGCUUUUGUAAUUUCUAUAGCAUUUUGAUCAGCCACUGGAAGGUCGAAACCAAAACCCAUGAACAUAUUGGUGAGAAACGAGAAUAGCUUAAAAUGGAUGCAUUCCUGACAAAAAUGGUUCAGCUAUCAUACAUCAAACACUUGUUUCCUCUGUUGGCUUUAGUGACUGCACAUGACUAAGAGCAAAUCAGUGAUAAAGUCUCAAGAAAGAUGAAACCAUCCAAGCCUUUGCAAAGACCAUCAGUCACUCUGCAGAGCCAUGAUGAUACUUCUUCAAGCAUUCCUUGGCUUCCUAGUUAAUAGAUGUAAUACACAGUCCACCUCUAGACCAAAGGCACUGGGGAGAUAGUUCUUACUUUUAAAGUUGGCAAUAUCUCAUAGGAACCAAUGACACAUAACCCCAAAGUAAGCUAUUCUAUUGUUCAAUUUAAUUUUCGUAUUUGCAUUCUUCGCUACACCUCACUGUUGAGCAAGUUUAAAAUCUUUAUGUUUUAUGAUUUCAUGUGUAUGAGUGUUUUGUCUGCAUGUAGGUACGUGCACCACGUGCAUGGCUGGAGUCUACGGAGGUCAGAAGAGGACAUUAGAACUCCUGGCAUUGGAGUUACAGAUGGGUGUGAGCCACACUGUUGCAUUGGGAACUGUAUUCAGUUUCUCUGCAGGAACAAGUUCUCUUCAUUUCUAAGCCAGCUCUUCAUCAUCAUAUUCUUACUUUUAAAAUGUGCUUUAUCAAAAGUAAAGUCCCUGUGCAAUGUCUUACAAUAUUUUGAAUUUCAGUGCUGUUAUUCUAGAUUUGGAAACACUAUCCCUUAUAAGACAGGCUCACCAAAGCACGCCAUAGAAUUCCAUGGGAGUGGAACACAUCCGGAUUUUAAAACGUGAAACUGAAAUAUGUCAGUUGAAGCCAUUAUCUAAACAUAUAAACUAUUUACAACUAAUGGAAUUAUCAACUAAUAUCGGUGACUUUGAAUAAUGAAAAUCAAAGUACAAGCAAAAUUACUGUAGUUUUAAUUGUCAUUGUGGUGGUUUUGAUUUGACUCUGUAGUUAGCAUCUGUAUCCUAGAUUUAUGAUGACUGUGGUCACUAUUUAUGGAAAGUUUACCCCAAUAUGAUUUAGGGCUUGAUGAUUUUUAACAUCAAAUGUGAGGUUUAAUGAAAUAAAAUGUAGAUAAAUUGUGACCCUCACAGUUUCUUACAUGUCUUUUCUGUAUAUGACAAUGAAACAGAUGUAAUCAUUGGCAAAAUGAUGUCAUACUGUCCUUAUUCAGUUUAUAUCUCACAGUUAAUUAACCAUAUGCUUAAGUUGAAUUUGCACACUCAUAGGAAAUGGCAGUUAUAUUUUCCUUUCUAUACUCCAUAGUAUAAGCACUUGUACCCAUAACUAGUAUUUUGGCAUAUUUUUUAUGAAGUGGACUAAGAAUUAGAGUAACACAUCUCACACCAAGUGUCAGUAAGCCGGUGUUUCUGUC